UACGUAGGGACCAAGCGUUGUUCGGAUUUACUGGGCGUAAAGGGCGCGUAGGCGGCUUAACAAGUCACUUGUGAAAUCUCCGGGCUUAACUCGGAACGGCCAAGUGAAACUGUCAAGCUAGAGUGCAGAAGGGGCAAUCGGAAUUCUUGGUGUAGCGGUGAAAUGCGUAGAUAUCAAGAGGAACACCUGAGGUGAAGACGGGUUGCUGGGCUGACACGUGACGCUGAGGCGCGAAAGCCAGGGGAGCGAAACGG
rnacentral:rRNA from 1 species